GCUCUUAUUAAUGAAAGUUUGGGCUUUUAAUGACAUCUUAUGAGAAAAGGAGCGGUUUUGAUAGCUUUGUAAAUGUUUUUGCUGAUAAUUUGUCAAUAGAUAAAUGGAAGUAAGCUAAGUAAUUUAACCUAAAAGUCUGCACUGUAGAGUCUAUCAGUGACGUCACUUGCAUGCAGUCUAAAAUGGGCUGAAACUAUUUCAAACCACUGUUUCAAACACGUUUUGAUUUUUCAUUGUAAACAAAUAUUGAUAUAAAUUUUACUGGACUUCAGGAGCCUGAUCGAGACGGUGCGCAGCAUAUCGCCUGCACGAUGAUCAUGUCAGGACCGCUUCACCAUGUAUAGAUGAGGACACGAAAGGUUCAGUAGACUUUUUGCUUUAAAUGAAUGGUUAUUGUCAUGGUGUAAAGAACAGAAACUGCUUUUUGUUAACAUUUGGAAUCUGUUCUGGGAGCGUCCUAGGCUUUUUAGUGCUGAUGGCCUGCACCCCAGCAGAGUCGGAGCAGAACUUCUCUCGGACAACAUCUCCAGGACUCUACGCUCCAUAUGACUAGGCAGUUUGUGAAGACAGAUAAUCAAGAGAUGUGACAAACUGUACAGAAGUCAGUUCCAGAUCCACCCUCUACACCAGACCUCUCUCUCAUAUGGAUUGCUGUCUACUAGCAUAUUGUUUUCUCUUCAGACUUCGGUGGAUGCAGAUAUUACUCAGGGACAUGAAUACUUGAAUAUUGCAAGAAUAGAGAAAGUAAGAAUUACAUAAGAUUUAAGAAUUUAAUGUUAAUUGCUUAAACUAUAUAUUAUACAUACAGUACAGACCAAAAAUACCGAAAAAAA
ensembl:lncRNA